UUGAUCAUGGCUCAGGAUGAACGCUGGCGGCGUGCCCAACACAUGCAAGUCGAACGGGAGUACACAUCUUCGGAAGUGUAUGAGAGCGGCGCACGGGUGAGUAACACGUAGCUUAUCUGCCCUGAAGAGCGGGAUAACGCACCGAAAGGUGUGCUAAUACCGCAUAAGCUCACGGUUUGUAGAGGAUUGUGAGAAAAGCUGAGGCGCUUUGGGAUGAGGCUGCGGCCCAUCAGCUAGUUGGUAAGGUAAAGGCUUACCAAGGCAACGACGGGUAGGGGGCCUGAGAGGGUGACCCCCCACACUGGGACUGAGACACGGCCCAGACUCCUACGGGAGGCAGCAGUGAGGAAUAUUGCACAAUGGGCGCAAGCCUGAUGCAGCGACGCCGCGUGGGUGAUGAAGGUUUUCGGAUCGUAAAGCCCUUUUCUUGGUGACGAGAGAGGACGGUAGCCAAGGAAAAAGUGUCGGCUAACUACGUGCCAGCAGCCGCGGUAAAACGUAGGACGCAAGCGUUAUCCGGAAUUACUGGGCGUAAAGCGCGCGCAGGCGGGUUGACAAGUCAUGCGUGAAAGCUCCCGGCUAAACUGGGAGAGGUCGGAUGAGACUGUCAGUCUGGAGUAGGUCAGAGGCGUGUGGAAUUCCGCGUGUAGUGGUGAAAUGCGUAGAGAUGCGGAGGAACACCAGUGGCGAAGGCGGCACGCUGGGGCCUGACUGACGCUGAGGCGCGAAAGCAUGGGUAGCGAACGGGAUUAGAAACCCCGGUAGUCCAUGCCGUAAACGAUGUACACUAGAUGUUCGUGCAGCUACGGUUGUGUGAGUGUCGAAGCAAACGCGGUAAGUGUACCGCCUGGGCGAGUACGGUCGCAAGGCUAAAACUCAAAGGAAUUGACGGAUC
rnacentral:rRNA from 1 species